UACAUGGGGUGCAAACGUUGCUCGGAAUUAUUGGGCGUAAAGCGCACGCAGGCGGUUCGUUAAGUCGGAUGUGAAAGCCCUCGGCUCAACUGAGGAAGUGCACCCGAAACUGGCGAGCUUGAGUACGAAAGAGGAUCGCGGAAUUCCCGGUGUAGAGGUGAAAUUCGUAGAUAUCGGGAGGAACACCGGUGGCGAAGGCGGCGAUCUGGGUCGAUACUGACGCUGAGGUGGCGAAAGCGUGGGGAGCAAACAGG
rnacentral:rRNA from 1 species